rnacentral:rRNA from 1 species
CCUACGGGUGGCAGCAGUGAGGAAUAUUGGUCAAUGGGAGAGAUCCUGAACCAGCCAAGCCGCGUGAGGGAAGACGGCCCUAUGGGUUGUAAACCUCUUUUGUCGGAGAACAAAACCCGGGACGUGUCCCGGACUGCGUGUAUCCGAAGAACAAGCAUCGGCUAACUCCGUGCCAGCAGCCGCGGUAAUACGGAGGAUGCGAGCGUUUUCCGGAUUUAUUGGGUUUAAAGGGUGCGUAGGCGGUCGGUUAAGUCAGCGGUAAAAUUGCGGGGCUCAACCCCGUCGAGCCGUUGAAACUGGCGGACUUGGGUGGGCGAGAGGAACGCGGAAUGCGGGGUGUGGCGGUGAAAUGCAUAG